rnacentral:rRNA from 1 species
CCCUGCCAUUUGUACACACCGCCCGUCGCUACUACCGAUUGAAUGGUUUAGUGAGUUCCACGGAUUGGUGGCCCCAGCGGGUUCGCUCGCCGGAGCCGUCGAGAAGUGGAUCAAACUUGAUCAUUUAG